rnacentral:rRNA from 1 species
AUACGGAGGAUGCGAGCGUUAUCCGGAUUUAUUGGGUUUAAAGGGAGCGUAGGCGGGAGCUUAAGUCAGCGGUUAAAUGGUGCGGCUCAACCGUGCCCUGCCGUUGAAACUGGGUUUCUUGAGAGUGCAAGAGGCGGAUGGAAUUCAUGGUGUAGCGGUGAAAUGCUUAGAUAUCAUGAAGAACUCCGAUUGCGAAGGCAGUCCGCUGGGGCACGUCUGACGCUGAUGCUCGAAGGUGCGGGAAUCAAACAGGAUUAGAUCCCCUGGUAGUCCGCACGGUAAACGAUGAUUACCCGCUGUCGGCGGCAGACAGUCGGCGGCCAAGCGAAAGCGAUAAGUAAUCCACCUGGGGAGUACGCCGGCAACGGUGAAACUCAAAGGAAUUGACGGGG